CUGGGGCCAGUCCUCUUCAAUAUCUUUAUCGAUGACCUGGAUGAGGGCAUCGAGUGCACCCUCAGUAAAUUUGCAGAUGACACCAAGUUAGGUGCAUGUGUCGAUCUGCUCGAGGGAAGGAAGGCUCUGCAGGAGGAUCUGGAUAGGCUGGAGCGAUGGGCUGAGGCCAGCUGUAUGAAGUUCAACAAGGCCAAGUGCUGGGUCCUGCACCUGGGGCACAACAACCCCAAGCAGAGCUACAGGCUGGGAGAUGAGUGGUUGGAAAGCUGCCUGGCAGAGAAGGACCUGGGAGUAUUGGUUGAUAGUUGGCUGAAUAUGAGCCAGCAGUGUGAUCAGGUGGCCAAGAAGUCCAACAGCAUCCUGGCUUGCAUAAGAAGCAGUGUCGCCAGCAGGUCUAAGGAGGUGAUUGUCCCCCUGUACUCGGCUCUGUUGAGGCCGCACCUGGAGUACUGUGUUCAGUUUUGGGCCCCUCGCUACAAGAAGGACAUCGAGGUGCUCGAGAGAGUCCAGAGAAGGGCAGCGAAGCUGAUGAGGGGUCUGGAGAACAAGUCUUAUGAGGAGCGGCUGAGGGAGCUGGGAUUGUUCAGCCUGGAGAAGAGGAGGCUCAGGGGCGACCUUAUCGCUCUCUAUAGGUACCUUCAAGGAGGCUGUAGAGAGGUGGAGAUUGGUCUAUUCUCCCAUGUGCCUGGUGACAGGAUGAUGGGGAAUGGGCUAAAGUUGCACCAGGGGAGGUUUAGGUUGGAUAUUAGGAAAAACUUCUUUACCGAAAGGGUUGUUAGGCAUUGGAAUGGGCUGCCCAGGGAAGUGGUUGAGUCACCAUCCUUGGAGGUCUUUAAAAGACGUUUAGGUGUAGAGCUUACUGAUAUGGUUUAGUGAAGGACUUGUUAAUGUUAGGUCAGAGGUUGGACUAGGUGAUCUUGGAGGUCUCUUCCAACCUAAACGAUUCUGUGGUUCUGUGAUUCUGUGAUUCAUUCUCGGAGACAUUUAAAACCCAGCUGGACACAAUCCUGAGUAAUUU
rnacentral:lncRNA from 1 species